rnacentral:rRNA from 1 species
UACGUAGGUGGCAAGCGUUGUCCGGAUCUACUGGGCGUAAAGAGCGCGCAGGCGGUCGUUCAAGUCGCGUGUGAAAGCCCCCGGCUCAACUGGGGAGGGUCACGCGAUACUGAUCGACUCGAAGGCAGGAGAGGGAAGUGGAAUUCCCGGUGUAGUGGUGAAAUGCGUAGAUAUCGGGAGGAACACCAGUGGCGAAGGCGACUUCCUGGCCUGUUCUUGACGCUGAGGCGCGAAAGCUAGGGGAGCAAACGGG